AUUAGAUACCCGGGUAGUCCUAGGCGUAAAUGAUGCGAGUUAAGUNUGGGGGCAUCUACGAGAUGGCCCUGUGCUGUAGGGUAGCCGUUAAACUCGCUGCCUGGGAGUACGGUCGCAAGGCUGAAACUUAAAGGAAUUGGCGGGGAGCACCACAAGAGGUGGAGGCUGCGGUUCAAUUGGACUCAACGCCGGAAAACUCAUCGGGAGCGACAGCAGUAUGAUUGCCAGGUUGAUGACCUUGCUUGACAAGCUG
rnacentral:rRNA from 1 species